UCGGGGUGCAGCAGGCGCGAAAACUUUACAAUGCGGGAAACCGUGAUAAGGGGACACCGAGUGCCAGCAUCAUAUGCUGGCUGUCCGGGUGUGUAAAAUACACCCGUUAGCAAGGGCCGGGCAAGACCGGUGCCAGCCGCCGCGGUAACACCGGCGGCCCGAGUGGUGAUCGUGAUUAUUGGGUCUAAAGGGUCCGUAGCCGGUUUGGUCAGUCCUCCGGGAAAUCUGACGGCUCAACCGUUAGGCUUUCGGGGGAUACUGCCAGGCUUGGAACCGGGAGAGGUAAGAGGUACUACAGGGGUAGGAGUGAAAUCUUGUAAUCCCUGUGAGACCACCUGUGGCGAAGGCGUCUUACCAAAACGGGUUCAACGGUAAGGGACAAAAGCUGGGGGCACGAACCGGAUUAGAUACCCGGGUAGUCCCAGCCGUAAACGAUGCUCGCUAGGUGUCAGGCAUGGCGCGACCGUGUCUGGUGCCGCAGGGAAGCCGUGAAGCGAGCCACCUGGGAAGUACGGCCGCAAGGCUGAAACUUAAAGGAAUUGGCGGGGGAGCAC
rnacentral:rRNA from 1 species